rnacentral:rRNA from 1 species
AGCGAACGCUGGCGGCAGGCUUAACACAUGCAAGUCGAGCGGGCCCUUCGGGGUCAGCGGCCGACGGGUGAGUAACGCGUGGGAACGUGCCCUUCGGUUCGGAAUAACUCAGGGAAACUUGAGCUAAUACCGGAUACGCCCUUAUGGGGAAAGGCUUGCUGCCGAAGGAUCGGCCCGCGUCUGAUUAGCUAGUUGGUGAGGUUAUGGCUCACCAAGGCGACGAUCAGUAGCUGGUCUGAGAGGAUGAUCAGCCACACUGGGAUUGAGACACGGCCCAGACUCCUACGGGAGGCAGCAGUGGGGAAUAUUGGACAAUGGGGGCAACCCUGAUCCAGCCAUGCCGCGUGAGUGAUGACGGCCUUAGGGUUGUAAAGCUCUUUUCUCCGGGACGAUAAUGACGGUACCGGAGGAAUAAGCCCCGGCUAACUUCGUG